CAGCCGCCGCGGUAAUACGGAGGGUCCAAGCGUUAUCCGGAAUCAUUGGGUUUAAAGGGUCCGUAGGCGGUCUUGUAAGUCAGUGGUGAAAGCCCAUCGCUCAACGGUGGAACGGCCAUUGAUACUGCAGGACUUGAAUUAUUGGGAAGUAACUAGAAUAUGUAGUGUAGCGGUGAAAUGCUUAGAGAUUACAUGGAAUACCAAUUGCGAAGGCAGGUUACUACCAAUUGAUUGACGCUGAUGGACGAAAGCGUGGGUAGCGAACAGGAUUAGAUACCCCUGUAGUCCCUGUCUCUUAUAC
rnacentral:rRNA from 1 species